rnacentral:rRNA from 1 species
GGCAGCAGUGGGGAAUCUUGCGCAAUGGGCGAAAGCCUGACGCAGCCAUGCCGCGUGAAUGAUGAAGGUCUUAGGAUUGUAAAAUUCUUUCAGCAGGGACGAUAAUGACGGUACCUGCAGAAGAAGCCCCGGCUAACUUCGUGCCAGCAGCCGCGGUAAUACGAAGGGGGCUAGCGUUGCUCGGAUUUACUGGGCGUAAAGGGCGCGUAGGCGGAUCAGCAAGUUGGGGGUGAAAGCCCGGGGCUCAACCUCGGAACUGCCCUCAAAACUGUUGAUCUAGAGUUUGGGAGAGGUGUGUGGAACUCCGAGUGUAGAGGUGAAAUUCGUAGAUAUUCGGAAGAACACCAGUGGCGAAGGCGACACACUGGCCCAAUACUGACGCUGAGGCGCGAAAGCGUGGGGAGCAAACAGGAUUAGAUACCCUGGUAGUCCACGCCGUAAACGAUGAGUGCUAGUUGUCGGCAUGCAUGCAUGUCGGUGACGCAGCUAACGAAUUAAGCACUCCGCCUGGGGAGUACGGUCGCAAGAUUAAAACUCAAAGGAAU